CUCGACUCGCUCAAGAAAGAGUAAGAGUGGGACAUAUCCCACUCCGGGGUGGGAGAGACAGGAUAAACAAGGAUCUACAGGAUCGAAUGAACUAACUGCCGAGAAUCGUUGAAUAUGUCGUCUUUUUUAAUCCUCCAUUGUAUUUAUAAAACGAUAUCGUCGUGUACAAACGUAUGUACACAGUAACAUAUGGCCCAACAACGGUUGGGAGAAGAAAGAAGAAUAAUCGAUAGAGUUUCCUGAUAACGGCUUACAACGUGACUGAAAAUUGUCUCGGCUGAUUGUUACCUACGAUCGUGUUCUAACUAUCGGUUUAAAGGAAGGAAAUACGUAACCGCAAUGAAUACGACGUUAGCACGAUAGAACAAACAAUGAAUUACGCUUAACUAUGAGAGACUUUAUUAAACUUACAUAUAUGUAUUUAUGCAUAUAUGUAUCUACCAAGGAA
rnacentral:lncRNA from 1 species